rnacentral:lncRNA from 1 species
CACCCAGCUGUUAUGCCGCUUCUGCCUGCAAGAUGAGAAAGACACCUCCCCUUCCCAGGGGGUGCGUCACCGGAGCAGAUGCCCGGGGCGGUUGGAGGCUCCCGGGCUCCCGCUGACUCAUCAGAAAGGCCUGCCGCGCGGCCCGGGGGGCGGGGGAACGUGGGGGACCGCGGGGAGCUGCCGGGCAGGCGGCAGCCGAGGUCGUUUGAGGCGCGCAGAGCCGGAAAACCCCACGGAGACGGCUGGGCGGGGGCGGGGCGAUCGGCACUGACCAGGUCACCUGCAGCGCGGGCUGACGGCGGGCGACUGAAGGAGGGAGCAAGUCUCCCACCCCCAGCAGCCGGCGGCCGCUUCCGAAGUCUGCCCCCUUCCACUGCGGAGCGGCGCCCCGCGGGCCCCCAGCCAGCGCGCCCGAGGCGCCCCCGCCCCGUGUCGCUCGCGCUGCGUUAUUGGGAGAAGGCGGUUCCUGAGCACCAGCACGGGCCUCGGUGACACCGGAGGUCGCUGGGGUCUUCCCCUUCCCCUUAAGACUCUGGGUCUGUCUGUGGGAAGAGCUUUCAUUCCCCACCCCACUCUAUGCCGACCCUCUCCGGGGGAGGCUCCACUGGCACUGUAGACACCACGUGCUGGGUAAAAAGGCCUGGUCCCAGCGCUUCCCUGUCACUGACUGCUAACCACAAGGCGCCGUGGCACUCAGGAAAUGCGGCAGGGGGGCUGGAGAACUAUCAGGAAGGGGUGUGGGCAGAGAAGAGGCUUCCACCCUGUCUUGGAACACGGACACAGUCCAUGGCAUUCAAAAGAGGUGGGAGGCUCCUCUGUGCACGUGCCUUCCGCCCCCGGGACAGGUGGAGGAGGGGAUUUGACUGGUCCUCACCCUCUGCAUUUAUAGUCUGGGCACACCUUGGGCAGUGCCGCAGGAGGGCGCUGUGGAGUACAGGCACAUGCAGAAGGUGUGGCGAGGGCUUCCUGGUGGAGCUGGCAGUAGGGCAGGGACCUUGAAAAGGAAUGAUUUGAACAGAUCGGAAAAGACAUUCCAGACAGAAACAAAUGCCUGAAACCCAAACCGAGAAGCAGGAAAGAGCAGACUGCGUUCUCGGAAUGGCAGGGAGUCCAGUUUGACUGGAAGACCUGAGGCUCAGAGGCGCAUCACGGCCCAGAUGCAGACCACAGAGGCAGGCACAGUGGCCCAGGAGGACCGAGGACCUGGAGUCACGGGGUUCCGCCCGCUGCCCCUGGGGAACCGAGUCAUGCCAGUUCCCAGACAGAUGAAUUCCUUCCAAGAAUUCCACAGUCCUGCUCAAUCCUAGCCGCCAAGCCUCCUGGCCUUGGAUGGCUGCUGUCUAAUGCAGAUCCUCUUUCAUCCAGAUUUCAAAUAUUUUUCCUAUUCUGUCCUUUGAUCACUAACGUUUAUGUUUAUCUACAUCAGCAUCCCUCAAUCCUGACGGCACUCUGAAAUUAUCUAGGGGUGCUUUAAAAAAGAAAAAUGUUGAUGCAUGGCCCUCCUCCAGGAAAUCUGAUUUUAUUGGUCUGGGGUGGGGCCCAGGCAUCAGCAGACUUUUAAUGAGCAGUUAGAGAGGAGAACCACUGAUGGAGAUGGUCACCAGGGAGUGUCCAGGUCAGACCGCCACAGAAGAGUGCAGCCUCCUGGCCUUCAGACCCAACUGGGACAAACCCUGAGAACAGCCUUGGCAGACCUCCAGGGGCAGCUGGACUCCCUGAGGCUGGAUGUUGCAGCCUCUCCCAGGCAUCCACUCUGCAGCUGAGGCCAAAGUUUCCAACGGGAAGGGAGGGAGAGUCUCCGAGUCUGGGCCUUGCCACUCCUCACUCAGCAUCUGACCAUCCCCACCUCCUGGAUCUACAGGGUUCAUAGAGGAGGACCCAGAAGAGGGAAAGUCAGGCUGAGGAACUUGGCCUCCCUGCUGCAAGGGAAAUGACAUCGGUUACCAAGGAGGUGACCAGCUAUCCUUUUCCAAGACUGAAAAGCAGAAAUACGGCCCUGAGGCUAGAGGGUCUAAGAGAACAAUAGGAAGAAUUUCCUGACAAAGGACAAUGUUGCCUAAAGGACUCAGGAAGCUCUGUGAAAACAGGAGACUCCCGAGCAGAGCACCAGACCCUUCUCCACCAGGCAGUGUUUUUCCCAUAUGACAGGUGAGAAAACUGAGGCUGAGAGACAUGUAAUAACUUGCUGAAGCAGCAACCAGCACACCAUAUAGCUGAAAUCUGUAGAUCAGCAGUUAAAAGUGGUAGGGCAAGUCCUCUCUGACUUUCAGCGCUAAGAGCCUAGGAUUCUGUGUUUUUCUGCUUAAGCCUGGGAAUCAGAGUCCUACAAAAGCCGCGCCUAAUCCUGGGGGUGUGGGCUUUAAACCCAGAGAGAAAGCAUGUUAUUGGAAUACUCCUGCACUUUUCUCCCUUUGAAUCCCACCACGGAAAGAAAAUUCUGUGACGUGUACCCAGUAUUUAUUGGAGGGUAUUUCCUAGCAAGAAAAUGAGGGCGAUUGACCAGGCACGGUGGCUCACGCCUGUAAUCCCAGCACUUUGGGAGGUCAAGGUGAGUGGAUCACAUGAGGUCAGGAGUUCGAGACCAGCCUGACCAACAUGGAGAAACCCCGUCUCUACUAAAAAUACAAAAUUAGCCGGGCGUGGGGUGGCGCAUGCCUGUAAUUCCAGCUACUCCUGAGGCUGUGGCAGCAGAAUCGCUUGAACCCGGGAGACAGAGGUUGCAGUGAGUUGAGAUCAAGCCAUCGCACUCCAGCCUGGGCAACAGAGUGAGACUCUGUCAAAAAAGAAAGUGUGGUACAUCUAUACUAAUGGAGUACUAUUUAGCCGUCA